rnacentral:rRNA from 1 species
GUGGGGAAUAUUGCACAAUGGGGGAAACCCUGAUGCAGCGACGCCGCGUGAAGGAAGAAGUAUUUCGGUAUGUAAACUUCUAUCAGCAGGGAAGAAAGUGACAGUACCUGACUAAGAAGCCCCGGCUAACUACGUGCCAGCAGCCGCGGUAAUACGUAGGGGGCAAGCGUUAUCCGGAUUUACUGGGUGUAAAGGGAGCGUAGGUGGCGAUGCAAGCCAGAAGUGAAAACCCGGGGCUCAACCCCGAGGACUGCUUUUGGAACUGUGUUGCUGGAGUGCAGGAGAGGUAAGUGGAAUUCCUAGUGUAGCGGUGAAAUGCGUAGAUAUUAGGAGGAACACCGGUGGCGAAGGCGGCUUACUGGACUGUAACUGACACUGAGGCUCGAAAGCGUGGGGAGCAAACAGG